AAGUCGUAACAAGGUUUCCGUAGGUGAACCUGCGGAAGGAUCAUUACCACGUUCCAAACGUUAUCAACCCCGCGAACUGUUUCUAUCUCCCAUCGGGCGAGAAUGAGCUGAAUGACAUCCUGUCGUGUGUGUGAGAUGUCCCGUUGUCAUGACGGGCUCUGGCGGGUGUCAAACAACUUAGCUGAGAGCUGAAAUAUGCAGGAGGCUAGACGGCUGUAUCUCGAUCUGGUGGCUUUUUCCUUCUAUUCGGCUCCCCGCACCGGCUGAGUAGUGAGGAGUUUUUUACUAACUAUAUUCACCGCUCCUGAUAGUUGACUGAUCCUGUCAGCCUGUGUUGAAAGGCCAGUGCUGGCACGUUUAAGUAAUUGAACGUAAAACUACCUAUACAACUGUUAGCAAUGGAUGUCUAGGUUUCC
rnacentral:misc_RNA from 1 species